rnacentral:rRNA from 1 species
GACGAACGCUGGCGGCGUGCUUAACACAUGCAAGUCGAACGGAAAGGCCCUGCUUUUGUGGGGUGCUCGAGUGGCGAACGGGUGAGUAACACGUGAGUAACCUGCCCUUGACUUUGGGAUAACUUCAGGAAACUGGGGCUAAUACCGGAUAGGAGCUCCUGCUGCAUGGUGGGGGUUGGAAAGUUUCGGCGGUUGGGGAUUGACUCGCGGCUUAUCAGCUUGUUGGUGGGGUAGUGGCUUACCAAGGCUUUGACGGGUAGCCGGCCUGAGAGGGUGACCGGCCACAUUGGGACUGAGAUACGGACCAGACUCCUACGGGAGGCAGCAGUGGCGAAUAUUGCACAAUGGGCGGAAGCCUGAUGCAGCAACGCCGCGUGCGGGAUGACGGCCUUCGGGAUGUAAACCGCUUUAGCCUGUGACGAAGCGUGAGUGACGGUAAUGGGUAAAGAAGCAACGGCUAACUACGUG